GGAUUUCCUCCAUAGUUGUUAUAUAGUCUGAAAUCGACGGGUGGGCAGUGUUGGUGAAGUUUGGUUGGAUGUGGAAGAGGAUUGGAGAAGUUGAGGUUAUGGGUUUUGAGAUUUAAUUAUUGAUUAUAGUAAAAUGAUUUUCCGUCCGGUAAUUAUUUAUGUACGAAUAAUUGUGUACAGGACGAGGUACCGAGCUUUUGAUCGAUGAAGGAACUCGUAUACGUGAUCGUCUGAAUAGUACUCUCGGAGGUGGACUGGACGGAGCUGUGUGGGGCCAGAGGACGUGCAGCCUAGCAUUGACUCAUCGGAGAAAGGCAAAGAAGAUGGUGGCUCCAGGGAGUGUACCCUGAUGGUCGGAGAUCGGUGACAAAAGAAAGAGAGUCCUCCAAAUUCACUUUCUCUCUCCUCCUGUUUCUCAUCUGUGCUUUUCUCUAGUCCCAUACUGUGGUCCUCUUUAGAGCUCUAGCUGUAAUUGAGGUAAAAAUUUCUGCUAAUUCAUCGAUCUUAAAAAUUAUUCCAGAUACUAUAGUGGAGGGUCAUCUUGGUUUCGGUUUUAAAGAGUUGAAUUUGGUUUUCAUUUUUUUUAGAUAAGCAAUUAGUUGUGGGAGAGUUCGAACAUGGAGAGGCCCAUGUGGAAGGUUAGCUAAAGAAAAUGUAUCUCUACUUUCUAAUUGAAGAAAGUUUGGUUUUUUAUCUGGGUUUUGAGGGUGAAGUGUUAUGGGAUUUGAUAAUGGUUUGUGUUUAUGUUUUUCAUGAUAAAGUUUGAAUCUUUUAACUGGGUUUUUGAGUUUAAAACUAUGGGUAUUUGGGUUUGACAUGUGUAGGUUUUGUUAUCUGUGAUUGUUGAACUGUAAGCAACUGGCUGCAAUUAUUUAGUUCUAGACAAGUCACAAAGGUUCGAUCUUGUUUGUAUGUUCUAUUGAAGAAGAUAGUGGUUGCAGAUGUUUUACUGAUUGCAGAUGUUUUUGGAUGAAGCUUGUGUGGUCUAGUCAAAUAUGAUCAGUAAUCUAGUCAAAUAUGAUCAGUAACUCAAAUAAGGCAAAGCCUUUUUAGUGCUCCUGGAAGUUACUUGCUUCAUAUUUUAUGAGGAUAUUUCGUUUCUUUAAUUGCAGAGUGUUGGCAGACAUGGGUUUGAAAGGCCGGCUACCCACUGAUAUCGAGUUGUUAUCUGAGCUACAAAUUCUGUAGGUGUUCUAUUUUCAAUUGGCAUCUUACAUUAGUUAUAUCAAUUGGCAUCUUACAUUAGUUAUAUCAAUUGGCAUCUUACAUUAGUUAUAUCUGGGGCUUAAUAACUAUAAUAUGUGAGACCAAAUUCCAGGAACACGGUUCAGUGCUCAAUGUUUCAUAAGCGCUCGCUUCUUUGAAGAAUUUAUCAUCAUUACUAGAAUUCUGUUUACUACAUUUCAGUCCCAAUUAGCUGAUGCAUUAAAAUUAUGGUUAAUAUACAUGUUAAUUAGUCUUGUGGAACUCAUUUCUGGUCAUGUUUCAUAUAGGAAUUUAUCUUUCAACAAGGGCCUGACAGGACAACUUCGAGCUUUAAUUGGAAAAUUGACGAAACUAGUACACUUGUAAAUGAAAAUUACUGGUUUCACCACUCGUUGGUUUCUUAUGCAAUUGCCUAUCUAACUAACUUGCUUUCUUGUUUGCACAUCAGAAACCUGGUUGGUUGCAGUUUCUUUGGUCCUAUUCCAGAUGCUAUAGGAUCUCUAACGAAGCCAUCUUACCUGUAAGAUGUUUGGUCUUCCUAUUCCCUAGUGCUUUUUUUUUUUGGCUAAUAUGCAAAGUAUGGCAAUCUUCAUUUGUUUUCUACUGCAGAUCUCUGAAAAACAAUAGUUUCAGUGGGCCAAUUCCGCCUUCCAUUGGUAAUCUGGCCGAUCUUACUUUUAUAGACCUAUCUGACAACAAGCUUCAGGGAUCCAUCCCAGUCUCUAAUGGGACUACACUUGGUCUCGAUAAGUUACUUAAGGCGAGACGCUUGUAUGUCAACAGUAGUUAUAAUUCUUAGCUGACUAGUUUUCUUUACCUUGUAUUUGUUCUGUCCAUAUUUUUCCUCUGAUCUUUUUCAAAUACAGUCAUUUUGGGAACAAUCAGCUCUCGGGCCCAAUUCCACCUCGACUUUUCAGCUCAACGAUGGCCAUGAUACAUUUGUAAGUUCUAUUGAAGAAGAUAGUGAUAAUCCUCAGCGAGUUUUCAUGAUUUAGGUUUUACUGAAACAAGUUGAAAUUGAAAUUGGAAAGUGACCUUCAUAGUGUAGAUUGUAAAUUUUUGUGUUCAAUGUGUUAAUCAUCAGGCUAACUUCACAGGUUGUACGACGCAUUGUGGCUGAUCCAUUAGUAGUGUGGUACCUGUGGAUAUAGAUGAAGAGGAGGCUGAUGGGUAUUUGGUGCUGUUGAAUUGAGAUUUUCUUUGAACAGCAAAGAUUUGGGGGUAAAUUCAGCUUGCGUUGAGUCAGUGCUUGAUUUGUUUUGGAUUAUUCGCUUUUGGUCUGAGGAGUUUUUUUCAUCAGCAAAUGUGUUAUUCAGGUAUAGACUCCAUAUUAUUAUUUACCUGAUUUUGAUAUACAACUAAUGUGUUUGUGGUGUUUGCGUUAUUGACUUAUGAUCGUUGAACUGUACAUGUCUACUGAAAAUUUCCAGCUUUUUAAAACAUGCACAGUCUUUUUGAUUGUGCUUUUGGAAAAUCAAUAUUUCCUACCUCAUAUUCACUUCUGGACCAAGAUAUAUAGUAUUCACAAACUCCUAACUUCACUAUAGUUUAUAAUUAAACUUUUGUGCAGUGUUUUAACUAAUUUGGUAGUUCUGCAUAUGGAUGAUGUGUUUAGAGAUAGAGAGCGUCAAAACCGAGAAAGGGAUAGAUCUGAUAGGAAAGUGUCUUUUGAAGUAAAGAGCAUCACCUAUCUAAUUGUGAGCUUUGAACUCCAAGCUACCCUCUUAUGACAAAGAAAAUUCGUACAUGUUUUUUUUCUUUUCUUUUUAACACACUUAUCUCUACAUUAGGGACUGUUUGAUGUUUUACUGAUAUUUGUGAUGAUUAUUUAGUGAUAGAAGAACAAUGUUCGAUCUCCAUCAAAUAAGUAAGGCAAAAGCAUUGCUUGCUUCACUAGAUGAGAACUCCGAAGCAUUGGCUUUUAUCAUUGAUGAGAAUUCACUUGCUUACGCCUUAGAGGUAUAUGUCCAGGACCUCUUUUAUCAUAUGUUUGCUACUCUAUUAAUACGCAUCCGCUAUUGAAUUAUUCACUGGGAAUGAAGGCUUUGCCUUAUUUGAGUUACUAAUCAUAUUUGACUAAAUUUGCCUCACUAUAUAUAUGUCCAGGACCUCACAUAUAUAUAGUGAGGCAAAUUUACCUUGAGGCAAAUCAAAGUUGCCACUAACAACUUUGACAUAUCAAAUAAGAUUGGAGAAGGUGGUUUUGGUCCUGUUUACAAGAUGCAUGGCCUUCUAUCAGAUGACACUGCAAUUGCUGUUAAGAAGCUUUCUGCCAAAUCAAAGCAAGGGAAUCAUGAAUUUGUGAAUGAGAUUGGCAUGAUUUCUGCUCUGCAACACCCUUACCUUGUCAAGCUUUAUGGAUGUUGUAUUGAAGGAAAUGACUUGUUGCUUGUCUAUUAGUACUUGGAAAAUAAUAGCAUUGAUCGUGCUCUGUUUGGUAAGUGUUUCUCGUCUAUAAUUUUCUUAUACCUAAACUUGUUUGGUUCAUGCUUAGAGUCUGCAAAGAUUCUAUACCCACAUAAGCACCCGGAUUGCUGGAACUCUGUGAGCCUCUAUGCUUUUCUUUAUUUUCUUAUACUUUGGAACAAAUGGAAGGUUUCUCUACCCUUAAUGCAGCUUUGUUAUUUCAACUGUGUUGCAUUUUAAUCAUUCAAUGAAGAAAAGAAAAACCCAAUUUCUAUCAGAUUUGUAGUAUUAUUACUAUGCGUACGUUUACACUAGAUCAUAUUUGACUGUAUGACUUGGCAGAGGAUAUAUGGCACAUGAAUAUGCAAUGCGAGGUUAUCUGACUGAUAAAGCAGAUGUUUAUAGUUUCGGAAUUGUUGUGUUGGAAAAUAGUCAGUGGGAGGAGUAACACAACUUACCUCUCCGAGUAGCAGCUCAUGUCUUUCUAUAACAACAAGGCAAACCGCUAAUUUUCAAGCCAACAUCCAUCAAACGGUUCUCAUUAUUGUCUUUUAUCUAUUGCUUUAUUAGACGAUACAUACCAAGUUUGAUUUGAAGUUAUUGAUUCCACUGAGAAAUUCGUGUAACAUGUUUUAAUCAUCCUUUAAUGAAGGUGUACAACAGAAACAUGCUGCUAUGUAAUGUUAUCCCAGUAACAUAUAAUAGUAAUUCCCGCAGCAAAGCGCGGGCAAAUGUUACUAGUAUUUAAAUUA